rnacentral:rRNA from 1 species
UGGGGAAUAUUGCACAAUGGGGGAAACCCUGAUGCAGCGACGCCGCGUGAAGGAUGAAGUAUUUCGGUAUGUAAACUUCUAUCAGCAGGGAAGAAAAUGACGGUACCUGACUAAGAAGCCCCGGCUAACUACGUGCCAGCAGCCGCGGUAAUACGUAGGGGGCAAGCGUUAUCCGGAUUUACUGGGUGUAAAGGGAGCGUAGACGGCGUAUCAAGUCUGAUGUUAAAUCCAUCGGCUCAACCGGUGGCUGCGUUCUAAACUGCCGUUCUUGAGUGAAGUAGAGGCAGGCGGAAUUCCUAGUGUAGCGGUGAAAUGCGUAGAUAUUAGGAGGAACACCAGUGGCGAAGGCGGCCUGCUGGGCUUUAACUGACGCUGAGGCUCGAAAGCGUGGGGAGCAAACAGGAUUAGAUACCC